rnacentral:rRNA from 1 species
CCUACGGGCGGCAGCAGUGAGGAAUAUUGGUCAAUGGGCGGGAGCCUGAACCAGCCAAGCCGCGUGAGGGAAGAAGGUACUGCGUAUCGUAAACUUCUUUUGUCAGGGAACAAAGGCGGGGACCAGUCUCCGGAUGAGCGUACCAGAAGAAAAAGCAUCGGCUAACUCCGUGCCAGCAGCCGCGGUAAUACGGAGGAUGCGAGCGUUAGCCGGAUUUAUUGGGUAUAACGGGUGGGAAGGCGGCGUGUUAAGUCAGCGGUAAAAGCGCGGGGCUCAACCCCGGCGAGCUGUUGAAGCUGGGGGGCUGGAGUUGGAGAGAGGUACGCGGAAUUCGUGGUGUAGCGGUGAAAUGCGUAGAUAUCACGCAGAACCCCGAUUGCGAAGGCAGCUUACCGGCUCCAAACUGACGCUGAGGCACGAAAGCGUGGGUAUCGAACAGGAUUAGAUACCCGGGUAGUC